AGUCGAGCGGAUGACGGGAGCUUGCUCCUUGAUUCAGCGGCGGACGGGUGAGUAAUGCCUAGGAAUCUGCCUGGUAGUGGGGGACAACGUUUCGAAAGGAACGCUAAUACCGCAUACGUCCUACGGGAGAAAGCAGGGGACCUUCGGGCCUUGCGCUAUCAGAUGAGCCUAGGUCGGAUUAGCUAGUUGGUGGGGUAAUGGCUCACCAAGGCGACGAUCCGUAACUGGUCUGAGAGGAUGAUCAGUCACACUGGAACUGAGACACGGUCCAGACUCCUACGGGAGGCAGCAGUGGGGAAUAUUGGACAAUGGGCGAAAGCCUGAUCCAGCCAUGCCGCGUGUGUGAAGAAGGUCUUCGGAUUGUAAAGCACUUUAAGUUGGGAGGAAGGGCAGUAAGCUAAUACCUUGCUGUUUUGACGUUACCGACAGAAUAAGCACCGGCUAACUCUGUGCCAGCAGCCGCGGUAAUACAGAGGGUGCAAGCGUUAAUCGGAAUUACUGGGCGUAAAGCGCGCGUAGGUGGUUUGUUAAGUUGGAUGUGAAAGCCCCGGGCUCAACCUGGGAACUGCAUCCAAAACUGGCAAGCUAGAGUACGGUAGAGGGUGGUGGAAUUUCCUGUGUAGCGGUGAAAUGCGUAGAUAUAGGAAGGAACACCAGUGGCGAAGCGACCACCUGGACUGAUACUGACACUGAGUGCGAAAGC
rnacentral:rRNA from 1 species